GGUUAAGCGACUAAGCGUACACGGUGGAUGCCCUGGCAGUCAGAGGCGAUGAAGGACGUGCUAAUCUGCGAUAAGCGUCGGUAAGGUGAUAUGAACCGUUAUAACCGGCGAUUUCCGAAUGGGGAAACCCAGUGUGUUUCGACACACUAUCAUUAACUGAAUCCAUAGGUUAAUGAGGCGAACCGGGGGAACUGAAACAUCUAAGUACCCCGAGGAAAAGAAAUCAACCGAGAUUCCCCCAGUAGCGGCGAGCGAACGGGGAGCAGCCCAGAGCCUGAAUCAGUGUGUGUGUUAGUGGAAGCGUCUGGAAAGGCGCGCGAUACAGGGUGACAGCCCCGUACACAAAAAUGCACAUGCUGUGAGCUCGAUGAGUAGGGCGGGACACGUGGUAUCCUGUCUGAAUAUGGGGGGACCAUCCUCCAAGGCUAAAUACUCCUGACUGACCGAUAGUGAACCAGUACCGUGAGGGAAAGGCGAAAAGAACCCCGGCGAGGGGAGUGAAAAAGAACCUGAAACCGUGUACGUACAAGCAGUGGGAGCACGCUUAGGCGUGUGACUGCGUACCUUUUGUAUAAUGGGUCAGCGACUUAUAUUCUGUAGCAAGGUUAACCGAAUAGGGGAGCCGAAGGGAAACCGAGUCUUAACUGGGCGUUAAGUUGCAGGGUAUAGACCCGAAACCCGGUGAUCUAGCCAUGGGCAGGUUGAAGGUUGGGUAACACUAACUGGAGGACCGAACCGACUAAUGUUGAAAAAUUAGCGGAUGACUUGUGGCUGGGGGUGAAAGGCCAAUCAAACCGGGAGAUAGCUGGUUCUCCCCGAAAGCUAUUUAGGUAGCGCCUCGUGAAUUCAUCUCCGGGGGUAGAGCACUGUUUCGGCAAGGGGGUCAUCCCGACUUACCAACCCGAUGCAAACUGCGAAUACCGGAGAAUGUUAUCACGGGAGACACACGGCGGGUGCUAACGUCCGUCGUGAAGAGGGAAACAACCCAGACCGCCAGCUAAGGUCCCAAAGUCAUGGUUAAGUGGGAAACGAUGUGGGAAGGCCCAGACAGCCAGGAUGUUGGCUUAGAAGCAGCCAUCAUUUAAAGAAAGCGUAAUAGCUCACUGGUCGAGUCGGCCUGCGCGGAAGAUGUAACGGGGCUAAACCAUGCACCGAAGCUGCGGCAGCGACACUAUGUGUUGUUGGGUAGGGGAGCGUUCUGUAAGCCUGUGAAGGUGUGCUGUGAGGCAUGCUGGAGGUAUCAGAAGUGCGAAUGCUGACAUAAGUAACGAUAAAGCGGGUGAAAAGCCCGCUCGCCGGAAGACCAAGGGUUCCUGUCCAACGUUAAUCGGGGCAGGGUGAGUCGACCCCUAAGGCGAGGCCGAAAGGCGUAGUCGAUGGGAAACAGGUUAAUAUUCCUGUACUUGGUGUUACUGCGAAGGGGGGACGGAGAAGGCUAUGUUGGCCGGGCGACGGUUGUCCCGGUUUAAGCGUGUAGGCUGGUUUUCCAGGCAAAUCCGGAAAAUCAAGGCUGAGGCGUGAUGACGAGGCACUACGGUGCUGAAGCAACAAAUGCCCUGCUUCCAGGAAAAGCCUCUAAGCAUCAGGUAACAUCAAAUCGUACCCCAAACCGACACAGGUGGUCAGGUAGAGAAUACCAAGGCGCUUGAGAGAACUCGGGUGAAGGAACUAGGCAAAAUGGUGCCGUAACUUCGGGAGAAGGCACGCUGAUAUGUAGGUGAAGCGACUUGCUCGUGGAGCUGAAAUCAGUCGAAGAUACCAGCUGGCUGCAACUGUUUAUUAAAAACACAGCACUGUGCAAACACGAAAGUGGACGUAUACGGUGUGACGCCUGCCCGGUGCCGGAAGGUUAAUUGAUGGGGUCAGCGCAAGCGAAGCUCUUGAUCGAAGCCCCGGUAAACGGCGGCCGUAACUAUAACGGUCCUAAGGUAGCGAAAUUCCUUGUCGGGUAAGUUCCGACCUGCACGAAUGGCGUAAUGAUGGCCAGGCUGUCUCCACCCGAGACUCAGUGAAAUUGAACUCGCUGUGAAGAUGCAGUGUACCCGCGGCAAGACGGAAAGACCCCGUGAACCUUUACUAUAGCUUGACACUGAACAUUGAGCCUUGAUGUGUAGGAUAGGUGGGAGGCUUUGAAGUGUGGACGCCAGUCUGCAUGGAGCCGACCUUGAAAUACCACCCUUUAAUGUUUGAUGUUCUAACGUUGACCCGUAAUCCGGGUUGCGGACAGUGUCUGGUGGGUAGUUUGACUGGGGCGGUCUCCUCCUAAAGAGUAACGGAGGAGCACGAAGGUUGGCUAAUCCUGGUCGGACAUCAGGAGGUUAGUGCAAUGGCAUAAGCCAGCUUGACUGCGAGCGUGACGGCGCGAGCAGGUGCGAAAGCAGGUCAUAGUGAUCCGGUGGUUCUGAAUGGAAGGGCCAUCGCUCAACGGAUAAAAGGUACUCCGGGGAUAACAGGCUGAUACCGCCCAAGAGUUCAUAUCGACGGCGGUGUUUGGCACCUCGAUGUCGGCUCAUCACAUCCUGGGGCUGAAGUAGGUCCCAAGGGUAUGGCUGUUCGCCAUUUAAAGUGGUACGCGAGCUGGGUUUAGAACGUCGUG
rnacentral:rRNA from 1 species